UACGGGGGGGGCAAGCGUUGUUCGGAAUUACUGGGCGUAAAGGGCGCGUAGGCGGCCUGCUAAGUCGGACGUGAAAUCCCUCGGCUCAACCGAGGAACUGCGUCUGAUACUGGAUGGCUUGAGUUUGGGAGAGGGAUGCGGAAUUCCAGGUGUAGCGGUGAAAUGCGUAGAUAUCUGGAGGAACACCGGUGGCGAAGGCGGCAUCCUGGACCAACACUGACACUGAGGAGCGAAAGCCAGGGGAGCAAACGGG
rnacentral:rRNA from 1 species